CGCUUUCUUUGGAGCGCGCCACGUGCAAACAAUGUACCGCCGACGUCGUUUCGAAAUUAUGCAACUGGCUGGCCUUCUCUUUCUACCGAAGUGCUUUUUAAAGAACAUCGAAAUAUGGGUCGAAGCAUGUUAUUUUGGUUAGGGAUCGACAAAACAACGGUACGAUUCCUGCUGGUACCUAGAACAAUCCCACAACCGGUCACCGGAGCAAAGGAUGUUCGAUCGUGGCCGCGCGGUCCAAUUCGUGGAACACAGAAGACACGUAUCGCGGCGAUCUAAAGACGAGGCAACGAUAUUACGGUACGUGGGCCGGCUUCCUAUGUACUGUCGGCCAUCACCAAAGCUCCCCCUAUAAAUUCAAGGAGGUUAAUGAAGCGGGCUGGAUUCAGUUUCAGAUUUUCCAAGACUCCGCUUGCCUUCGAUAUCGUUCCUCGAAUCGGUGCGAUCACCUCGGUGGAACAAACGGAUAUCUAAGCGAGUAUCGUGCAGCCUUCCCGGCAGGCAGGCGGCUUCUAGCUGCUAAUGAUCGCGGUGUACCGUAACGUGCUACACGAUUUCAACGAUAAACUACAGCGCACCCGGCAGCACCCGCGGCACCGCAAACCCGUUUUUCGAGCAAUAGACUUUUUCUACCCGAUACGCCUCCCCCUUCGUUCACUGGCACAACCCCCGCCGCAGCUUCGAUAAGGAGAUUUAACGAUAUAUGGAUCGCGCGAAAACGGCUUAGAAGGU
rnacentral:misc_RNA from 1 species